GAGCAAAUGACGAUGGUGUGGGAUGAGUCUAUCGAGUCUAGAACGCCUAUGACACAAGAGGAUAUAUCAAGAGUGGUUCUUGGGAAGAAGAAGGGAUACUUGAGAGGUUUUGGGGUCGGACCAAAGCCCUCGUCCUGUGAUUUUGGGUCGAAUGCAGCAUCACAAGCACGUGAGGAGCACUUGAAAAGGCUUACAUCCGAGUUGGAGAUACUGCGUGCGGAGUAGCAGAGUGACAGUGAGGAGCAUCAAAAAAAGGAAGAGGAGCAACAAAUAAAAGAUGCAGAGAAUGCAAGACAACGUUAGGAGAUGCAGGGGCAGAUUUUUGGACUUCAAGGCAUGUUGGCGCAAGUUUUGGAAAUGCUCAAUCCACCAAAGUCCCCACCGUAGCUACUCAUGGUAAUGGAUGGAUGAUCUCGUGCACGAAGCUAAAUUGUAUAUGACUAAUUGGCACUAUAAGCAUUUUUGGAAGGAAUAUAUAUAUUUGAAUAGAUGUAUGUAUGGAAAAGAUUUAGGUGGACUAGUAGUUAUAUUUUUGGAUAGACUAGUAGUUAUAUUUUUGGAUGGAUGUGUAUGGAAAAUAUUUGGGUAGAUUACUAGUGUUUAUAUUUUUUGAUAGAUGCGCAUGGAUAACAAUUUAAAACAUAAUAACAAAUAAAUGGUACGUUUUAAACUGUUAUGUUA